CUUGUUGUUGCGCACCUGAUAAUCUAGAUUUGAUUGUAGCCCGCAGGGUGGCCUCCUGUUGUGAGCACUUGAUGAUCUAGAUUGGAUGGAGACCACCGAGUUGCCUCCUGUUGAUAUGGAAAAGGAAAGAGAGAAUGGAAAAACAAUGAGAGGACUGGUCAGUGAGGUUUAGACCAGUUGGCCGUAUGGGGGAUCGGCUCCCUGGUGCACAUGUACGAGAGGGCGAGCCAUGUGUGAGGACGGCUCGUUGGGGUUUCAGGUGGUGCCACUGACUAAUUUCCACUUACUUGAUUACUUGAAGGUGACAUUACUUGUGGGUGCUAGUGUUGUGCCAUAUGAAUGACUGCAGCAUGCUCAUUUUAGAAUAUUAGGAUGCAUUUUGCGUGAAUGUGUGUGGUGUGUAUUAUUUAUUAUUAUUCACUGAGUUGCAAAACUCACCCCCCCUUCUCUCCAAACCUCUCAG
rnacentral:lncRNA from 1 species